GAGGAGGACGAGGCGUGGCGGCAAUGGGGGAAGAAGAGGACGAGCCCCGACGACCGCUUCGACCCCCCGCCGGACUUCGCCACGAUGGACAUGGCAGCUAUCCAGGACGAGAUGAUGCGGCGCCACACCGGCCCCUCCGUCGGUUUCGUGAAGCUCCGCCCCGGACUCCGUCGCACCCGGGAUGAAGUGGGUAUGAUUGCCAUGAGAUGGAGCAGGGUUCUCCGGACUGGAACUAUUGAGGCCCGGUUCAUGGCUGUUGAUCUGAACACUCUCAUGUUCAAUAUGGAGAAGGGACAGGACAUAGAAGAGUUGAAAGAGUUUGUAUUGAGCCAACCCGAGGCAUAUGAAAUGAAG
rnacentral:misc_RNA from 1 species